GACGAACGCUGGCGGCAUGCCUAACACAUGCAAGUCGAACGAGACCUUCGGGUCUAGUGGCGCACGGGUGCGUAACGCGUGGGAAUCUGCCCUUGGGUUCGGAAUAACAGUUGGAAACGACUGCUAAUACCGGAUGAUGACGUAAGUCCAAAGAUUUAUCGCCCAAGGAUGAGCCCGCGUAGGAUUAGCUAGUUGGUGAGGUAAAGGCUCACCAAGGCGACGAUCCUUAGCUGGUCUGAGAGGAUGAUCAGCCACACUGGGACUGAGACACGGCCCAGACUCCUACGGGAGGCAGCAGUGGGGAAUAUUGGACAAUGGGCGAAAGCCUGAUCCAGCAAUGCCGCGUGAGCGAUGAAGGCCUUAGGGUUGUAAAGCUCUUUUACCCGGGAUGAUAAUGACAGUACCGGGAGAAUAAGCUCCGGCUAACUCCGUG
rnacentral:rRNA from 1 species